UAUCUAUUCCCUCCGUUCGGAAUUACUUGUCGUAGAAAUGGAUGUAUCUAGACGUAUUUUAGUUCUAGAUACAUCCAUUUCUGAGACGAGUAAUUCUGAAUGGAGCGAGUACAUA
rnacentral:pre_miRNA from 1 species